UACGUAGGGGGCAAGCGUUGUCCGGAUUUAUUGGGCGUAAAGAGCGUGUAGGCGGUUUGGUAGGUCCGCUGUGAAAACUCGAGGCUCAACCUCGAGACGCCGAUGGAAACCCCCGAACUAGAGUCCGGAAGAGGAGAAUGGAAUUCCUGGUGUAGCGGUGAAAUGCGCAGAUAUCAGGAAGAACACCCGUGGCUAAGGCGGUUCUCUAGUACGGUACUGACGCUGAGACGCGAAAGCGUGGGGAGCGAACAGG
rnacentral:rRNA from 1 species